CCGGAUGGUUCCGUUGCUACGUAUCGGCUGGACUCUCCCACUAGCCGGUGUAAGCCUGACUCUGUGCCGGGUUUGAGGAUGCCCUCCGUCGUCAUCCCUUAGAAGGUGUUACCUGCUUUCAGACUACCUCGUUGCGGCGCACUCACUACUUCCAAAAGCCUAGCAUUUUGAGACAACAUUCCCUUCUUGUUCACGCAAUCCAUUACUUGCGUGGAACUGCCAUGGAAUAAUCUUUCGGUGCCGAUUGAUGCACGGUCGUCGGCGCCAUUAUGCAUCCACCGUUCGCAACAGGCCUAAAUAACCCGCAUUUCGCGCGCGUCCACCAAAGAAUUCAGACUACACUUUCGGGUGCCGAGUUGGCACCUCCCAGUAACCUUUGACCCUCUGAACUCACGUCUUCUCCUAUCACCUUAAGGUUCACAUCGCCACUUUACGCAUCUCUAAACCUCCUUGUGGUCACCGCUUCCGCUGACAGACCAGACAUUGACUGUGACUCCGCGCUUUCGCACCCCUCGUUUGUCCUAAUCUAUGGGACCAUCAGGUGCGGCAUUUGCUACUCACGAUUCACAAUCCCCCAAAGGCGGGGAAUCACGACGUCGAUUGCGUAAUUCGUGAGGCG
rnacentral:rRNA from 1 species